CCCGCCCGCCUACGGGAGGCAGCAGUAGGGAAUCUUCCGCAAUGGGCGAAAGCCUGACGGAGCAACGCCGCGUGAGUGAUGAAGGUCUUCGGAUCGUAAAACUCUGUUAUUAGGGAAGAACAUAUGUGUAAGUAACUGUGCACAUCUUGACGGUACCUAAUCAGAAAGCCACGGCUAACUACGUGCCAGCAGCCGCGGUAAUACGUAGGUGGCAAGCGUUAUCCGGAAUUAUUGGGCGUAAAGCGCGCGUAGGCGGUUUUUUAAGUCUGAUGUGAAAGCCCACGGCUCAACCGUGGAGGGUCAUUGGAAACUGGAAAACUUGAGUGCAGAAGAGGAAAGUGGAAUUCCAUGUGUAGCGGUGAAAUGCGCAGAGAUAUGGAGGAACACCAGUGGCGAAGGCGACUUUCUGGUCUGUAACUGACGCUGAUGUGCGAAAGCGUGGGGAUCAAACAGGAUUAGAUACCCUGGUAGUCCACGCCGUAAACGAUGAGUGCUAAGUGUUAGGGGGUUUCCGCCCCUUAGUGCUGCAGCUAACGCA
rnacentral:rRNA from 1 species